UACGGGGGGUGCAAGCGUUACUCGGAAUCACUGGGCGUAAAGAGCAUGUAGGCGGGUAAAUAAGUUGGAAGUGAAAUCCUAUAGCUUAACUAUAGAACUGCUUCCAAAACUGUUUACCUAGAAUAUGGGAGAGGUAGAUGGAAUUUCUGGUGUAGGGGUAAAAUCCGUAGAGAUCAGAAGGAAUACCGAUUGCGAAGGCGAUCUACUGGAACAUUAUUGACGCUCAGAUGCGAAAGCGUGGGGAGCAAACAGG
rnacentral:rRNA from 1 species